rnacentral:lncRNA from 1 species
UAUUUUAUCAUUAUAUAAAAAUCUAUUUUUUUCUCCUUCUUCUCUACAUAAAGUGAAAAUUAUGAUUUAAUUUAAUUUUUUCGGUCGUAGACAUCUUCAGAAACUCAUAGGAAACUGUAGUAAUCCGUAGUCACCCAUAGACAUCUUGAAACCCUAAGACAUCUUGAGACCCUAACUACUCCCACAAACCCUAGCCGCCAGACCCAUAGACACCCAUAGAUAUCCAAAUCGAUUUUUUUUAAAUUUUCCCCAUCAAACUCUAGAUCCGCUCCUCCACCACCACCAUCACCGAGCGCCGCCAUCACGCCGUCAUCCAUGCCCAACACCGUUGUCGCGCCUUCCACCAUAGAUCUGACCUUAAACCACCAUAGCCGUCGUCUCCUUGCCUCUACAAGCAUCCGUUUAUUGCUGCCGUCUCCACCGCCAUAACCACCGCCAUAACCACCGCCCCUCUCAAUAGUGGAUUGGAGUGGUGGAGAACGAAAGAGACAGAGAGAGAUAGCGAUAUCGAAAAAUAGAGAGAUAAAGAUUGAGAGGGAGAG